GACGAACGCUGGCGGCGUGCUUAACACAUGCAAGUCGAACGGAAAGGCCCUGCUUUUGUGGGGUGCUCGAGUGGCGAACGGGUGAGUAACACGUGAGUAACCUGCCCUUGACUUUGGGAUAACUUCAGGAAACUGGGGCUAAUACCGGAUAGGAGCUCCUGCUGCAUGGUGGGGGUUGGAAAGUUUCGGCGGUUGGGGCUGGAUUCGCGGCUUAUCAGCUUGUUGGUGGGGUAGGGGUUUACCAAGGCUUUGAAGGGUAGCCGGCCUGGGAGGGUGACCGGCCACCUUGGGCCUGCGGUACGGCCCAGUCUCCUACGGUAGGCAGCAGUGGGGAAUAUUGCACAGUGGGCGGAAGCCUGAUGCAGCAACGCCGCGUGCGGGAUGACGGCCUUCGGGUUGUAAACCGCUUUCGCCUGUGACGAAGCGUGAGUGACGGUAAUGGGUAAAGAAGCACCGGCUAACUACGUG
rnacentral:rRNA from 1 species